GCAUCGUUAGCUCAGUUGGUAGAGCAACUGACUCUUAAUCAGUGGGUCCUGGGUUCGAGUCCCUGACGGUGUA
rnacentral:tRNA from 1 species